rnacentral:lncRNA from 1 species
CUGGCAGUGAGGGGCCUUGUGAGCCAUGUGCCUGUGUUCUCAAGUUCCAGGGUUCUGGGGAUGCAUGCAGGGGAUUCUGGACCUGAUUGUUUCCUCUGAACCAGGAUGCAUUCUGGUUGGCAGGGCAACUGGCCUUCACUUGGUGGCCUUCAUGGAUGCCCACAUUGGUUGCCUUCGGUUAGUGCACUCAGUUGGUACCCUCAGUUGUUUCUCUUCAGUUGGUGGUCUUCAAUUGUUGGGCAGUGGCAGAAGGAGGAUGAAUCCGUUUGUGCUCUCUCCUCCCCCAGUCACAGCUCUCAGGCUUGUUGCCCCCAGGCCCUCCUAAAAUAAACCAGAGAUGUUGGCAGGUUUUUCUUAGCAGACUAAUCAGCUCAGGAUAUGGGGGUGAGGCAGGGUGUAGGGUGCAGGUUGCUAGCACAGUGCCGCCCCAUGGCCCAGGGCUGCCUGUGCCAGACAUGCCUUUGCAAGGAAGAGGCAAUAGUUGUUGAGCUCUGCAGACUUGGGGGCAAGCGAAGGUCCAAGCUGCCUGAGAAGAGCAGGGGUGCCGCAUGGGGACCACACUGAACUGUCACAAGUGCACCAAAGUCAGCCCCAGUCAGGGCUGGCAGAAGGGUUCUGCAGAGCCAGCCUGUGGCUCUGAUGUCUACCAGUGUGCAGACAGAGAAGGCGCAGGCUGUGAUAUACAGGAGCAGAGGAGCCCUGAACACGCUGUCCCCCAAUACCAGCCACAAGCGGGGCUAUCUCAGGGUGCGGUGGGUGAAGCCGUCCUGCAGCUCUGCGAUCCACGAGGUGGAGGUGGCAGUACUACCAGACUCCACUGCUUUGGAGCCUGCCCAGUCGAAUUUGGGAUCCAGUGACAGACCUGACAGCAGUACAUUGGCAACCAGAAGAUACCCCAGGUAGGGUGGCAACGGAUACUGCUUAACUUGAGAAGAGCCUCAGUUUUCUCAUCUAUAUAAGAUGUGAUUGCUAUGAAGCUUCCAUAAGGUAAGUGUGUAAAAACCAUGGCAAAAUGCUUGUAACUUAAAACAGAGUGUUUCUAUGAGGCUUCUAUAAGGUGAGUGUGCAAAAAUCUGGACACAAUACCUAUAAUUGUUUAAGUGUUCAGUAUGUGGAGAAGGAGGAUUAUUUUUUCUCAUCUAAUUUUUAGAGCGAGUUCAUAAGAUUGGUGAUACUCAUAUAUCUUAGACAAUCAAACCAAUAAUCAGAAAGAAUAAAUAGAUCACCAGAGUCACAAAGCAGUUCACAAUGCAUUCACUGGGUAAUUUUUAGUUGAAAGUAGAAAUGAUGAUCACAUUGAAAAUUUUGUAUUAUGUUGUGGUUUUCUCUUACAUAAUCCUCUUGGUGUCUUGGUGUUAUGAAACCACAGAUUCUAAAUUGCUCUAUCAAAGUGAUCAUUAGAAAAAUCUGAUGUACUUAGUGUUUAAAUGUUAGAAAAUUUCUUGUUAGUCUUCUCAAUUUGAUUGAACAUGUGUGUUAUUUUCAAAAAUGUAAAUGGGACAUAUGUGGAUUUGUUAUAUAUGUGUAUAUAUGAAAUAUUACUUGAUAUUAUAGAGUAGGCUUAGCUCAUGGCAAAGUUUUUUUCUGAAAGCACCUGCAGAAAUCUCUCUUAUUUCUAGUUUGUUAAUAUUUCAGAGAUUAUGGGGGAAAGGGGGUUUUAUGAAUCCCAGACAUUGCGUGAAGCAGAUUUGGUUUCAGUAAUUUUAGCAUCAUUCAUUGUAAGGUGAUGAUCCCUAGGAAUUUCUUCACAGUGAGAAACCUGAAGGUUCCUAGCAUGCAGCAAUGAAUGAAAGGUGGGGCGGGGCCACUGGCAUGGUGGGGCCUUGUGAGCCAUGUGUCUGUGCUCUCAAGUUCCAAGUCUGUAGGGAUGCAUGCAGGGGAUUCUGGACCUGAUUGUUUACUCUGAACCAGGAUGCGGUCUGGUUGGCAGGGCAACUGGCCUUCACUUGGUGGCCUUCAGUGGGUGCCCUCAUUGGUUGCCUUCGGUUAGUGCCCUCAGUUGGUACCCUCAGUUGUUUCUCUUCAGGUGGUGGUCCUCAGUUGGUGGUCUUCAGUUGUUGGGCAGUGGUGGAAGGAGGAUGAAUCUGUGCUCUCUCCUGCCCCAGUCACAGCUCUCAGGCUUGUUGCAUCCAGGCCUUUCUAAAAUAAACUGGACAGGUUGGCAGGAUUUUUUAGCAGACAAGUCAGCUCAGAGUAUGGGGGUGAUAUGGGGUGCAUGCUGCUAGCGCAGUGCCACCCCGUGGCCCAGGACUGCUUGUGCUAGCAAUGCUUUUGCCAGCAAGAGACGAUAGGUGUUGAGCUCUGCACACUUGGGGGCAACCAAAGGCCCAAGCUGCCCAAGAAGAGCAGGAGUGCCCCAUGGGGACCACAUUGAACUGUCGCAUGUGCACCAAAGCCAGCCCCAGUCAGGGCCGGCACAAGGGUUGUGCAGAGCCAGCCUGUGGCUCUGACGUCUAUGAGUGUGCAGACAGCGCAGACGCAGCCCGCAAUAUACAGGAGCAGAGUUGCCCUGAACACGCUGUCCCACAAUGCCAACCACAAAUGGGGCCAGCUAAGGGUGUGGUGGGAGAAGCCAUCCUGCAGCUCUGAGAUCCACAAAGUGGAGAUAGCAGUAGCACCAACUCCACUGCUUUGGAGGCUGCCCAGUCGAAUUUGGGAGCCAGCGAGGGACCUGACAGCAGCACAUUGGACACCAGAAGACACCCAAAGGCUGGAAUGCUACGUCGCGAUGUCAGCUCGCUGCAACCCUUGCUUCCUGAGUUCAUGUGAUCCUCCUGCUUCAGCCUCCUGAGUAGCUGGGAUUAGAGGUGUGGGUCACCACGCCCGACUAAAUUUUUUGUAUUUUUAGUAGUGACUGGCUUGCACCAAAUUGGCCAGUCUGUUCUCGAACUCCUGACCUCAAGUGAUCUGCCUGUCUUGGCCUCCCCUCAGGCAGGGAUUACAGGAAUCAGCCACCAG